rnacentral:antisense_RNA from 1 species
CUUGAUCGAGCCCAGCCUGAGCGGCCUGCCCUCGGGGCGGUCCUUGCCGUAGGUGGCCAGCAGCGCCUGGGCCUC